AAAAAUUCCUGUCGGCAAAGAUAAACACCCCAUUACAACUUAAUUUGCAGGAGCAACUGAUAAAAAAUGUGCACUUUGAUCAAGUUUUUCAUGAAUGACUUCAAAGGUUUUUGAGACCCAAAUCAGCUUCACUUUCUCUAACACCAAACAGGGCUGGGAAGAAAGUACUCAGACAACUGGGCAAGUAGGUGAUCGUAUGUUACAAAAAGGUCUGCAUGUCUGGUUUU